rnacentral:rRNA from 1 species
GACGAACGCUGGCGGCGUGCUUAACACAUGCAAGUCGAACGGAAAGGCCCUGCUUUUGUGGGGUGCUCGAGUGGCGAACGGGUGAGUAACACGUGAGUAACCUGCCCUUGACUUUGGGAUAACUUCAGGAAACUGGGGCUAAUACCGGAUAGGAGCUCCUGCUGCAUGGUGGGGGUUGGAAAGUUUCGGCGGUUGGGGAUGGACUCGCGGCUUAUCAGCUUGUUGGUGGGGUAGUGGCUUACCAAGGCUUUGACGGGUAGCCGGCCUGAGAGGGUGACCGGCGACAUGGGGCCUGAGAUACGGCGCAGAGUGCUACGGGAGGCAGCAGUGGGGAAUAUUGCACAAUGGGCGGAAGCCUGAUGCAGCAACGCCGCGUGCGGGAUGACGGCCUUCGGGUUGUAAACCGCUUUCGCCUGUGACGAAGCGUGAGUGACGGUAAUGGGUAAAGAAGCACCGGCUAACUACGUG